UGAGAAACAUAAUAAACAGUCUAAGCAGUUUACCAUUGAAACUGUUUCUCAGAUUUCCCCAUAGGGCUGUGGUAUGUGCUCUCACCCUUGCUGUUCCCCUCUGCCCAUGCAGCUCCCCUGUCCAGGAGACACACGGGAGGAGGAACAGUAGCAAAGUUAGAUCUCCGGAUGAAAGUAAUGAGGAUAGUUCAAGCCACGGGGAAAUCCAGAAGGGCGAGGGAAACCUGGUGCCUGUAAGGCCGGUGAGACACUGCUCUCAGACUGUCCCUGGGUCCCCUAACUCUCCCUGAGCCACAAAUAAUAACCUGCUGGGAAGGUGAGCCAGCUGUCUGCCAGCAUUUCACUCAUUUGCAAAGAACCCCCUAUUCUAGAUUACCUCUGCCACUGCCCAGGGAAAAGGGAAUGCCGUAAGGUCACCUUUCUAAACCACCGUCUUACUCCGUGAGGUGUUGAGGGCUGUUGGAGGCUAAGGCUUUACUCCUACCUCCCCAUACACUGUUGAUGGUUCAUCCCCCACCAGUGGUCUUUCAGUUUGUUUUCCAUUAAAGGCUGUUUUCUCUGAAGGGAGCCCAGGGUCAGACCUCCUGUCUUAAUAGUGAUCAGGCUUUCCGUUUAUAUAGUAUUUUCUAGUGUAAAAGUGCUUUCAUAUACAAUAUUUCAUUAUAAUCUCAAAGCAAACCUACACGAGGACUAUCCCGGGGUCAUAGUUCAGAAAACUGAGUUGCACAAUGACUCUAUUCACAGAGCCGGUUGUAGAGCAGAUACCCAAACCCAAAUGUCUACAUUCCGAAUCAGGUGCUUUUUCUUCCCCAGACUUUGCCAAUUUUUCUAUUAGAAUGUGUCCAUUCUUUUAGCAGUAUUAUGUCCUUUCUCAACCCUCAAAUAUCUGGACCUAGUUAAUUUGUAAAGGACUUCGCUAAAGGUCCAGCAAUUAAACUGAGAGUUCAUCUCCCGUAAGGAACCACUCAGCCUGAUUGUGGAUGCUCACAAGACUCCAGAGGGGUCCGAGGGAUUUGCUGUGGCCACGCCUUCCCAAAAUAUUUAUUCUCUUCUUGUCACAGUUUUUCAUCUUUCGAUUGCCUGAUUCCCACUUCAUCUGUUGUUUGACUUUUGUGGACUUUCCUUUUUCUUUUCUUCUCUCUCUCUCUCUUUUUAAUAAUGAUUCCUCUCUGACCUAUCUUGCUCCAUUUCAGCUUGAUCAUAUAGAUCCAUAUUCCUAUUUCUAAUCUUUCUUAAAAGACGUAUCUAGUAAGUGCAUCAUUUAGAAAUAUGUAACUCCCAAUUGCCUCUGGGAUAAAUUCUAAUCUCCUUAGUUUACAUAUAUCCUUGAUUACCUCUCCAAUUUCAUGUCUUAGCACUAUUCAUUUCACUGACCUUAUUCUCACAAUUCCCCAUAUUUACCGUUCCAUCUCUUCUCUCUCCCACUCUUUAGAUCAACCCAGGCUCCCCACCCAGUAUAUCAACCAUCCCCCUUCUUUGCUUUCUUAUUCCUACCUAUCCUUCCAGAUACACCUCCUUUUCUGGAAGGGUUUUCCUUGAUCUCCCCGACUGGGUGGGAUGCCCUUCCUUUGGUCCCGGUAGCGUCCUGUGCACAUAUCUGUCGUGCACUGACUAAUGACAUUGAAGGGAUCUAUGUUUCAGUCACCCCAGCCCCCUAGAUUGUAAGCUUCUCAAGGACAGGAUCCAUGCUUUUGUCCUUGCUUUCUUUGUACUUUAGUAGUGUAUAAGAUACUUAAUACACAUUCAUUAAAUCCAUUACUUGGUUCCCUCUAACCUAACUCUAAAGAUCAGGAAGAAGGCCUGCUCUUUUGUUGUCCUUUGUAGUUCUUUGGGAAAGCUCUUUAAGCUCAGCAUUUGUGGGUCGGGGAGGAAGACUGGAGUAUUGAGGCCGGACACACAGGCUAACUCAGGAGCUUCUCAUUGAAAAAGUGCAUUACCAAGACCUGACUCUGCUCUUACUUUGGGACCCUGACAUCCCUGGGUCUCCCGAGCUCUCCAACCAAGAUACUUAAAGGUAAUGAGAUCAUGAUGUGUGAGUGUUUUAAAAACUUGUGCUGUUCAAACAGAAAUCAUUAGUGUCCCUUCAUCAUAUUCCCAGUAGGCUACUCAUCUCUUCCCUUCCCUGGUAUAUUUCCCAUCCUUUAUUUUUGUGGAUCAAACUAUUAAGUGAGGCGAAGGGUUUAUUUUGAAGUUCAAGUCAACCAAUUCUUGUUCAGUGAUAGGCUGUGGAUACCAUGUAAAUACUAGGCUGUUACCUCCGUAUUCACUGCCCUGUCAUUUCUGGGUUCUUGGCCCUUGCCAGGUAUCUCUAAAAGCCCUAGAAGGAAGGCCCUCAAUUCCCAUUCCAGCCCCUAAAUGAAAAUGGCAUCACCAUGCGAAGAGGUGAGGUAAAAAUGAGGAACGGAGGACACUGUCAUGUCGCCCUGUUUUUCCCAUCCCCUGGCUGCUUGGGUCUUCCCUAUCAGCUUUUAAACUCCCUGGGUAACCAGUUGCCAGUAGCCUUCCCCAAGCCAGCUCAAGCAGCAUGUGUUGAUAGGUGCCAGCAGUGUGCUGGCUCCAGUGGGAUUCCUCUCUGCAAAGCUGCUGGCUCAGCUAAGCUGUUGUCUGUUUCCCUAUUCUUCUGCUUGGAACUUUCAUAGCCAGUCAAGCAUAGAAUUGCAUCCAUUCUUCUGAAAUGGCUGCCGGGCCUAAUUUUUCAUUGGCUUGGCCAAGAUCCUAUUACCUGUAAUUAUGUCAUACAGGCUGAAUGGUAAAGUUUGAUAGGCCUCACUGCCCUCCCGAGACUAGUGUUCACGUCCCUGCCUGGCUGUUGGGACUGGGGACAGAAUAAGGUAGAACAAGGUUUAGGGCCACAAGAGAUUUGGCCUCCUUUGGGACAUGUAAGGAAGGCCUCAAGGAUAUAAUUCUGUCUUAGGGAAGAAAAUCCUUUUCAGCAGAGGGAUUCUUCCUUUCCCUGGGGAAUUGGUCCUUACUACUGUAAACUCUUCCUUAAGAGACUCUGAUGUUUCCUCUGCCAGUUCAAUUUGUUCCUACCAGGAAAAAGGAAAUAGGAAGUAUAGCCCUUAGACCUGACAGAUGUUGUUUCCUCCAUAAACAGGUUGCUUCGCAAUGCCGAGGUGCGUCCCUUGACUGAUUUUUUUCCUCUCCACCUUUACCUCUGACCCACAUCAGUCUUAGAGUAAAGAUGCAAAAGGCUCAAACAUGACUUCCUCUUGCAUCUUUCUGCUAGAUUGGUCCACAGUACUUGCUUUAAACCUCAUCUGAAUUGGAGCCAGGAGGGACACCUGGGUGGCUUAGUUGGUUAAGCAUCUGCUUUCAGCCCGGGUCAUGAUUCCAGGGUUCUGGGAUCAAGUCCCACAUCAGGCUCCUUGUUCAGCGGGUAGCCUGCUUUUCCCUCUGCCUGCCACUCCCCCCGCUUGUGCUCGUUCUCUCUCUGACAAAUAAAUAAAUAAAAUCUUUUAAAAAAAAAAAAUUGAAGCCUGGAAAUGAGUAUAGUGGGCACUGAUUGCCAUUGGAGAAUGCAUUUAUUGGUUCACUACAAGAUCAUCGUUACGAACACAAGGUCAUGAAGAUCCUUCAAACAGAGCUUUGCUAAGCAGAACUCCUGCCACCUGUGGUAUUCAGUACUAUCUGCCUAUCUGACAUAAAUUUCUUCAUGAGCCAUCCUUGUGGACAAUAUCUGUUGCCAGGCACGUCCUCGUCUACCUUCUGUAGAGCUAUGUAGAGCCUGUGACCCAAAACGAAUGGAGAAAUUCUAUCAGGAGUUAAGAGAUUUCUGGACUCCUCAUAGGUAAGGAUUGUGCUAGGAGAACUGAGUGCCAUUUAUUUUAAUUUAGUUACAUCAGAUGCCCCUAGUAAUAAUCCCUGGUUUGUCUUACCUCUUCAGUCAUCCUGAAUGUUCACUGCUUCUUGAGCUUUGGUGAGGGUUCUCUUUAAAAAAGAAAAAGAAAAAAAAAAAAAAGGAAGCUAAUAUCCUUAAUAUAAUAAUAUAAUAGAAAAGCAGCUCCAAAUUUUUUUCAGAUGAAAUCCCUUAUUUGUGAAAUCUGUCCAUUUCCUUCUGGGAGCCUAAUUUAGAAAGUAGUUCUUUAUUUCAUAUCUUCUGACCAGCCAGAUCAUACUUACUUUCCACACUAAAGAUGACCUCAUGCAGACUUGCCCCAUUCUCUUGUUUCCAGAAGAGCUUCACAAAGGACCCCAACACAUUGGCCAGCACCCAUGUAGAUUUGAGUGUCAGCUUUCAUGCUGGCAUGUUUGGGGGUCUUCAGUUUGUCCUAACCAUUCCCAGACACACCUACUGUCUGAAUGUUAAUAUCUUCUCUCUGGAAUUAUAUAAUUCAAUCGAUAACUUUUUAGAACACAGCCCUAAUAUACAAUAGCAGGGUUGCCAGAGCUGCCAGUAAGGAGUAAGCAGAUUGUACAUUUCAUUUGCUCUCCAGGUAAUACUAACAUUCUGGUGUUUCACAUGUGACUCCUCCAAGGACACAGGAGUGACUGUUCUAGUGGAUGAGCCAACCGUAACCCUGCCCUCUUCUUGCCAUUAGCAUAUGUCCACUCCUUGUGUCUGUUGCCAAGGACUAGACAAGAUCCUCUGUGUUCCAAAUCUGGCUUUAUUGGUGAACUUCCCACUUGCCACUCCACCUGUGACAGUUUCUGGUCAGCUGAACUUAAAUGGAUUUUGGAAAUGAAAGUGACCAGUGGUCUGUUAUGAAAUGCUGUAGUGCAUGAAAUAAGAUUAUGAGCGGGCUGGAGAAUUAACAGCAGAUACCCUAACCUGGUCUAAACAUGUGUCACUUAUUCAAGAAGGAUAAGUUCAUCCAUAGACCUAUAUCCAGAACAUUUAGGGACAUUUUCCCCUUCCUGGUCACUUAAAAACUCUGUUAGUAACAUGUGCAGAGUCAGACCUGCGUUCUUGUUCCAGCUGCACCAUUUACUGAAUGACCUUGGACAUGAUCCUUAGUUUCUCUAAAUCCAGGGCAGUCUCAGUGCAUACUAGAAUUCAGUAGAAUGGUGUUCCUAAGGUUGCACAGUGCGGCGGGCCUGCUAAACCUAACUCCCUCACCUGUAGCGAAGGCACCUUCUCUCGAGGGUUAUUGUGGUGAUCACAUACAUAUGUAAAAUCCCCAGGACUGGCGCCCUGGUAAAGAGUAAACACUCAGCGAACAACAGCUUGUGUCAUUAUUUUUAUUAUGAGUGAAAAUUCUUCUCAGGGUUUAGCUAAAAUCUAGGACUAGAACUGCAGUGUGGGCAAACCAUGGUACCCAGAGUAGGGAGGCAGGCUGCUCAUUAGCACGUGUGUUGGGAGCCGCAUUCAUAUGAGAAUCAACAAAGAACAGUGGUUAGUCCUCGCCAGUGCUCUUCACACGCCAGUCCUGUCUGUUUAAGCCAGGGAUAGCAAAUAUGCAUGCUCCUCCCAUACUCCCAUCUAGCAUCCAUGGCAGACGUUUCUAGUCACAGUACUGCUUUGGCUUGGGGCUCAGAAUCUUCUCAAAACAGGGCCCUCGGAGCUACUACCUGUUGAGUGGGUUUGGCAUUUACUCUGAUACCUAUUUGCCAUCCUUGAUCUAAGUUUUCAAAGGACUAAGUACCAUCAGGGGUUAGCAGUCAUUCUUCUAUGAAGAAAGGCCAAAGAAACAGGGUCUUUUUGCCUCUGCUUCUGCAUGGUCCUACACGUUAGAAUCCCUUCUUUUUAGGCAGUGUCACAUUCAGUGGAAAAGUAAAGGUCUGGAGGUAAUGCCACAGAGUCCUAACCUGUGCACAGAGCCUCUUCUAGCCUCGACUGUGGACAGAUAAGGUGAACCAUCACCAAGAGCCCGGAUUCUACAGAUGCCUCAUAGACAUCUAAGAAGUAAUGGCUUGAGUAUCUGCCAUGCCGAUGAGCUACCACAUGAGUAUUUAGAGGAUGAUCUGCCAAUACUCAGGGCUCUCUGUGCUUUCUUUCCAUUUACACGGGACUUCUGACCUUGCGCCUUUCCUGGUGUCACUGUGACUUGAAAAUGAGGGAUACAGGGAUGACCUAUCUAGAUCCUACCUGGCCUGGGCUUCCUUAUCCUCUGAUGGAAUAGCAUUUGCUCUUUUUUGUCCCCAUACCACCUUAGCAUGGCCACAGCAGUCUAAGAUUGCCAUAGGUUUGUCUUUGAUCUGUAUUAAAUUGGAGGGUUGGAGGAGAGUGGAGUGUCAGGCACGAGCUCUAAAGAAAGAUAUAGGUGUUAAUGAGGAUUGAAAGGGAAAAGAAAAGGAACCAAGAUAAAUCCUUUGGGACAGUCACUGCAGUAAGAACAAAAGCUAUCCAUUGAGCCAGGAAUGAAAAGUUGAAUUGGAAACAGUUUCAUUGUGCCAUUUUUCUUUCCAGGUUAGCAUAAUGCCUCCCUCUUCUCCCUUUGCCUUCUCUCAAUACAGUGGAAUCCUAUCUAGUGAUACCAGAAAAGGGUCUUGGCAUUGAAUGUACAGCUAGAAGGGGAAGAUUAUGCAAGUAAAACCCAACAGGUCCCUCCACCACUAGCAGCAGCCUGCAAUAAGCUACUUGCCUUCAAAGGUUUCUCUAGUGCUGGCAGUGUUAGGAUGCUGGUACCUCUCUGGUUAAAUAAAUCUGAAACUACUGACCCAAGAUUUUUAUAGCAGUGCUGCAACCCUAUAUGAGGAAAUGCAACAAAUAGUCCAUUACCACUGAUUGGAUAUGGAUUUUUGGCCUGGCCACUUGCCACAUGGUAAUUUUAGAAUAGGGUCACUUUCGGAAUUGGAAGAUUCCUUGUAGGAGGGUACUGGUGUUUGCUAAAUAGUGUUUCUUAUCUUCGUGCCCUCUCACAGCCACGCUCCCACCUCCUGAGUAUAGGGCCAAUCUCUCUGUCUGCCCAGCAGAGACAGCCAGAGCUCAUCCUUCAUCAGCUUACAGGGCUGCAGACGUGGCCGUUUCCAAACACCCAGGGUGCACUUAACCACUUCCUCCUUCUAAUAUCAGCACUUCCACUCUAACCACAUCAGCAGCUUUGUAACUUGUAUUUUAUUUUGCUCUGUGUUUUGGCCCUUCAGGUAUUUGUGGGAGGAACAUGGGGCGGGGCUGGGGAACUGUGUUGUCACUGAUUUCAGAAUUACAUAGUUACACCCUGAGUCAUUGUCUCUGGAGAAUCAUAUAAGCAAGUGCCAAGAGCGCCCUGAAGGGCUCUCACCCUUUUCACACAUAGGUUUUAAAGGUUGGGUUCUCUUUCAUGUUGGAUAUGUGACUGCCUGCUUGGUUUCACCAUCUGCAAAAUGGGAGCACUCGACCCUGUUGUGCCUGGAGAGAGCUGAAAGGUGAUUACUGAGGCAUGGCGCAGAGGAUCUGAGGAGCCCCUAGUUUUUCCCACUUACGUAGAAGGUGAAUAAUCACACACGAGCUGAGGUCACUGUGUGACCUGGAGAGGGACCUGUGGUUGCUUUGUUUUUUCUUCUCGCCUGCAUCUGAAUAAUUAGACCCGGUUGAUGAGACAGGAAAUGGACCUGUGGUCCCAGACCCUGAGAUGUGACCAUUCUUUACCUCACGGGCUUAGCUCUAGGCAGGUUUCCCUUUUCACCCUGCCAUAAAAUCUGCCUAUUACAUUGUCAUCUUGCUUGUCUGUGUGUGAUCAUUGUCUCAGGAUUCAGAUCAGACCUCUCACAUUUUGGCCCUGACCUCUGAUCUUUUUGAUGUGUCUCUCAGCCCAGGGUGUUUUAGAAGAUGGACUUGAACCCCAGGAACCAUGAUCUUUGUUAUUAUCAAGUAUGUUGCAAGACCGUUCUACUUUAUUAGCUUCCUGUCUGGCUUUUUUUUUGGCUGUCGACCCAAGGCUGGGGGGUUGGUAUGGCAAAGCUGGAGUUUGCUGUGGGAGCUUUUGAUUCUUGUUUUCCCAUCCAGAAUUAUAUUAGUUGUUGAGAUAACCCAGCUAGACACCACUCAAGUAUGACAACUUUAAAAAUUCAUGAGGCCUUGGGACCCAUAGCGCCUCUCAACAUACAGACUUCUAGCCUUGCAUCAAGGGAAGCCAUAUGGUUUCACACGCCCUCUUGCCCUGGUGAGGCCUCACAGGCACAUGAAGUGCAGAGGGAGGCCCUGAGACUACGCUCCACGGCCAGCUCUUCAAGGUGUGUGGAAGGGCUCUUCCUGACACAUUCACACCUGCACCCAAGCAUGCCUAACACCCAGCGACGGGGAGACCACCUCUGGGAAGAUGCAGCGUUCUCACCCUGCCCAGACUUCUUUCAUCUGUCCUUCCUUUCUGAUGCUUUCACCCUCCCCUUUGUGUUUCUGUAAUUUGUACAGUAUCGUCGAGAGGUGUUGAAGAGAUCAAUAGCAGUUCACCUUUUCCCUUAUUGAUUAAAGUGAUGGCAAGUAUAAAUGGCAGGCAGUACCAAUUCAUUCAUCAUGAGCUAUCCAUUUCCUACCAGGCCACCAGUGACCUCUCCCUGCCUGUUAGUUGCUGAGCUGUAGCUGAGAUGACACCUGUAUCUAGGCUGCUUUAAUAGGAAUGAGAGAACCACUGUGUUUGGCUCCUGUAAUCAAAGCUGAGUGAGGAAGGAGACUGCAGGUAAUGAGCAAGAAAACGACUGUGGAGCCUGUUCCUCAGCUCCACGGCUUUAUUUGAGGGGUUCACUGCACGUGCGGUGCUCUCAAGAAGAGGCAGCAUGGCAUCAGUUGAUAGACACCACCACCUCACCCAGCACUUCCUCACCCCUGUUCCUCUAAAGGGCACAGCCUUCCUUUCGUACACUGAGCGUGGGGAUCAAAAAGUCCACGACACCUGUGAACUAGCUCUGGCUUUGCUGCACGCUCAGACGUUUGUCCUUUCCGCUGGGGCUUCACACAGUAACUUGGGCUCACCCUGGGGGGAUCUGGGGUGCCUGGGGUCGAGCUUGAGUCAGGGGAUGAAGGAAGGGCCCUUGUGCUUAGGAGGGGGUCUGUAUCUACCAGAGGAUGGAGAAUGGAGACAGUUUUUAUCCGCUGCUUUCUCAACUCUAGAGACAAGCACAGGAAGGGUGUGUGUGUCUGUGUGGUGUUCUGUUCUCCCUCAUUGAAAUGCCCUCGGAUUCUUUGUUGGGAAAGAUGAUGGAAACACCCACAACCCAUGACCUUUCCGGUGCCAUGCCCUAAGUAGAGCUCAUUUUUAAAACUGCACCUCGAAUGCUAAGUACUUACUACUUCACUCACCUAGUGGGAUGACCAGGGGUCUUUGACUCCCAGGGCUCUUAAAAGGCAAGUUAGCACUGACUACAAAGGCAAAACGUGGUUAACUUAGCCGCUUUUCUCUUUGUGUAUUGUAGUUUGAACUCUGUUGCUUCCCUAACGCAUCUGUACACAUAAGCAGCUGUUGCCCACCACACCGAGCAAAGUCGUUCAGGACUGCAGAGGGGCGGAGAGAGCUUGAGUCUGCUGCCUUGCAGGGCAUGAACCAGUUCCCAGAAACUCCCGGGGGUAGAGUUUUGCCGAGGGGAAAGUAUUUGGGGGGCCACCCGGAAGCUUACCCUGCGCCAUGACCUCUACCCAGCAGAGGGAGCUACUUACCUGAGUGGGCACUUAAUGGUGACCAGUGGGACUUGCGGUUCCCCAGAGCUGCUUGUUGCCGUCAGGGAGCUUGCAGUCCUUUGUGUCAGCCCAAGUACAGAGCCAGGCUUCCAGAAGAGCACUGCCAUCACAGUCAUGUUUCCUGAGUGCCCAGUGGGUUUAGGUCACUAUUUUGGAUGCCCCUUUCCCGGUAGGAAGAUUUCACUAGAAACCCAGUGUCACUAUGUCAGGUAGCUCUGCAGUCUGCAGAUGCCAAACCUGGAGAACGCGGCCAGCUCUCUGUGAAGCUGCUUAAUUACAUGUGAAGCUGCCAGCAGGACGAUUGUUCUUUUCCCGUGGAUCAUGAAUAAACCAUGCUGGCCUGCAUAGAUGGGGCAGGGGAAGUCUCUGACAAUUCCAUCACCUUCCUCAGCUUUGUUGGACAGGUCUUCCUCCCUUUCAGUCUAAAGCACUCAAAAUGGCUGGGAAUGAGGAGAGGAAGGGAAAAGAAAAAUCUAUUUCCAUAGAAUGCACAUGUUUUUCUCCUAAGAUGGAAAGUGGCCCCCUGCUUUCAGAUUGUCUUGGCAGCCAGAGUACAAAGGGUUCGAGGCUUGCCAUGGGUAAGAAGCGCUAGUGGCUCAGCUCCUAAUAUUUGCAGCAAACUACAAACCAGGCCUGAUUUGGAGACGAGGCAACUAGUGCAGCAGAUGGCAAACAGUCCUGCCCCACUGGGGCCUGAGAUCGGCACCAUCUUCGUCCUUCAGCCAAGGCAGCCUCAUUCCUGCUUUGCCUGAGCACAGAAAGCAUUUAUGGCUUUUUAGAAACUACUUUUUUUUAGGGAAAGAUGGAAGAAGGCAAAACAAAUACAAUGUGGGAAAUUCAGUGUAGUUUGAAAUAUUUCCCUGUCAAACAGCCUAAAAUAGAGCCUUUCCUUUGUUGGGUGGAAGAAUUUAGAAUCUACAUUUCUCCAUAGAGCAUUGAGUGCAAAAAUUAAAAAUGGAUUAUAAAUAGAAAUAAAAUGACCCAUUCAGUUUCCAAGGACUUGAGUCUACAGCCUUCAGAAUACUGACUUAGAGCAUUUGAGAACUGUCGGGGCUCUAGAGGUUACACAGUCCAAUAGAAACAGUUCAUAGUAUUUGAGAAACUGAGGCAUGAGGAAGGUAAUCCUUGGGACACACUCAUGUAGUCAUGCACGUGAGAGCUAACAUCUCCACAUUCCUGUCGUAUUGAUCUUACCUGCACCCUCAUCUGCCUCCCAGACAGCCACCUGUUCAUCCACUGGCAGUACAGGUAAUAGUGGAAGACUGACAGUGGCAUAGAAAAGGGAAUGGGGUGUACGUGGUAGAGGUGGACAGAAGAGGUGAACACACGCAUUCUCUAAAUUGUAUUAUUUUGGUGAGAAAAGGACACGAGGCUAAGUCAGAGGAGGAAGUCAUCUGGGGCCUCAGCAUUCUGUAAAGAAGAUUCUUAACUAGACAGGGGUGCAGAGAGAAUGCACACAGGAUGAGAAGGCAUGCCAGAGAGGGAGGAGUACAGGUGUCUCACAAGCCUGGAAUUUUCCAUUUGCUUUUCCUGAUUACUGAUCAUAGAAAAGGUGUUAUCUUUUCAUGCCAAAAACUAAGCUUCAAAAACACCCAAAAGAAACAACCAAAAAGUACUGAACCGUUUUAAGUUAAGGGGCUUUGUUUCUCCUUUUGGAGUAGUGGGGAGGUUUACAUUGUUUGAUUUUUUAUUUAUCUUUUUUUUCCCCCUUUUUUCCCCCCCGAACAGAGAGUUGCAGGGCAGGGGUGAAAUGUGUUGCCCUCUAACUCCUUGGGCAGGACUCCAGCUCAGGCACUAUUUUCUGGUCACUUUCUCCCAGGCCACAGGAUAUCACCCCUUGCCCCCAGCAUCCUGCGCUCUUGGGCCUGCUCCCUCUAUUCUCUUAGAGGAGGCAGAUCCGAAAACUGUGCCAUGUUAGCAGGCUCUGAGCCUCGCCCCCACCUUGUAGAUGAGGCUGGUUACCCAUCUCGUUAGCAGUGAUGUCUGUGUGUCUUUCAAGGGCUUGUCAAGUGGGGGAGGAACAAAUCACAUUUUCCAGCAAUUUAAUUUUAUUAAGUCUGAUUUUUCCCCCUUUUCCAAACGCACAGCUAAAUGGAGCUAAACAUACACACAAAGGCUAUAUUUAGUCCUGAUGGUGUGGUAGAGUAGGGAAGGCACAAACAUAGAGGUUUAUCUGCUACCUAGUAAACACAGGGAGGUGUCAGGGCUGGAGAAUUCAAUACUAAUAAUAAGCAUUUAUGUGGUACAAUGACAACUUUGAUACAGGGCAUAAUUUUCUGGGGAUUGCUAUUAAUUGUGCUUCUGCCUGUGAGCGGCCCCCUAGUGAGGGGCUUGGAACACCACGCAGAGUUAAGCUAUAUUAAACAUCAAUUAAAACAUCGUAAAAUAGAAACCAAAUAAAAUAUGCAAAGGUCAGAAUGGCUGUGAGCAAGCAGACAAGGCCCUGAGGGGAGAGGGGUUAGGGCCUGGUGAGUCUAGUACACAGGGACAUUCACGCUUCUAGUUGCUCUAAGCUGCUUUGAGUUCCUAAGUUUAGUAGGUUUGCUGGACUAGCUUCCCCAAGUUCAACUCUUUCCCAAAGAGGUAUCAGAAGCAACUCAUUAUGGCCGGCAAGAAAUGCGAGAAGACAACCAGUCUACCCACACUGUCCAGCGAGACUUUCUGCGGUGAUGGAAAUGUUCUUUAUCUGCACUGUCCAGUAUAGUAGCCACUAGCCACAUACGGAGAUUGAGCACUUGAAAUGUGGGUAGUGCAACUGAGGUACAGAAUCUUUAAUAAAAUUUUAAUUUUAAUUUAAAUAGCCAUAUGUGACUAGUGACUGCCAUAUUGGAGAACACAGGACAGUCUUCGCCCACAGUAAACACUCCAGAAACGUUCAGUUUGCAUUACACUCUUCUUUCUAAACCAAUCUACACCUUCCCCCAUACCUCUGAAUGGUUACUGCUUGUUUUUUGACCCAGUCCUCCCAUGCUCUUGACUUAAGCUUCCAGAUUCUUUCAUAAGGGUCAUACACAGCGCCAAGAAAUGAGAAAGGUCAAUGCCUGCAUCAAACCAGACAGACGUGGCCUUAUCCUUGCCCCCUUUUCUCCUGGUAUCCCCCAGUCAAGCUAAUACCAGGUGUUUCCCACUCCCCCAGGCAAAAAAGAAGGGAAUAACUCUGGAUCUCUGGUUAAAUGAAGAUCGCAGAUCCGUGGUGCUAUCCCCCUGAAAGUCUGAUUCAGUCGCUGAGUCUGACCCUUGAAUUCUGCAGAACCAGGGGAUUAUAAAUUUCCCAGGUCAUCCAGGGAACUCUCACCUGACAUUCUUUGGUCCCUUUGGCACCUAAACUGAAAACACCUUUUCCAAUAGCUCUUUAAACACUCAUUGAAUGCUUAGAAAGGAUCCAUUCAUUGGGAUGACACAGUAUAGAACAGAGCACUCUACUUGUAAUAAAAAAUCCCAUGUGUAAGUCCUAGCUCCUCUACUUACUAAAUCUGUGACCUUGACAAAAGAUCAUUUAACCUCUCUGAGGCUUCAUCUUCCCACAUAAAAAUGAGCGUGCUAGAUUGAAUGACCUCUAGGACUGAGAAGACCUAGAAAAGAGAUCCAGAGAAAGACACCCUAGUUGCCAUGAAGUCCUAUACCUCACUCAGUUCCCCCUUCAGAUGUCAGGCAUGCAUUUCAAGCACCCCUUUCCUGAGUCUGCCAAGAUGCCCACCUGUGUCUAGUUAGCACUGACUCAAACUCGGAAGUUUUCCGGCAGCACAGACACACCCUGAGCCAGACUGGGUGGCACUGUCGCACUCAUGUGAACCUCGAGGAGUCCUGAACAGUCCCCAGUUAGUUUGAGGCAUCCUCAGUGGUAGCAUUUUGGUCCGUCGUGGGAAGAAGGCAUGAGGUUUCUUGGCUUGGGCACCGGGUCCAUAAAGCAAAAGAGGGGUUUGGGAGUUACCUGUGUGUGCCAGUCAUCUUGGCUGGCUGGUUGUCUGCCAGCCCCCCUCCACCCAGCAGUCACUAGUUACUGCUCCGGGGAUUGUCCCCAGCCGCCCAGAGCCCCUGCGGAGCUGCCAACUCCACACAGCUCACAAAGGGCCCUGUAGCAUCUCUAAUUGAAGAGCUGGUGAACGGACGCCCUCAGUAGAGGUAUUUUUAGCUGCAGUGAUACAGCCUCAUCGUUUCUGGUGGAUGUUUUGUUUAGUUAUUUUUUAAAUAAAAUAAAUAGUUAAAAUUGAAGACUGUGGUCCCAAACCCUAGUGCCAACGCCCAAGAAGUUUUGGCACACCCCCUCACCGCAGGCCUAAUUAAUCCUGUCUAAGACCAGGUGCUGAAGCUCUGAGUUUGCCAGAAUAUUAGGCCAGAGAGACAGCGUGUACAGAAGGGAGAAGAGCUAGAAAUAGAGAGGAGGCAUAAUACAGGCUGGCCUGGUGUGAGGUGCUGAGGUUCCCUCUGAGCAGACUGGGCAGCUGGGAACAACUCUAUCCAGGCCUCUCAGACCUUUGAUGGAUCUAGGGGAUCAAGUGAGCAGGCCUCAGCUCCUUGCAUUAUACAGUAGAUCCCAUUCUGUACCUUGCUGACUUAGAGAGGGACUCCAGGGAGGGAGGGGGGUGGGGCAGAGGGAGAGAGAGAAUCUUAAGCAGGCUCUGCCCCCAGCAUGGAGCCCAACUCGGGGCUCAGUCUCAUGACCUUGAGAUCAUGACCUGAGCUGAAAUCAAGAGUCUGACACUUAACUGACUGAGCCACCCAGGUGCCCCUUGUUUCCUUCACUUUAUCAUGUUCUGUGACUUGCCACCUUUUCAUUGGCUUUUUUUAUUGUGUACCAUGUGAUCAGGGGUGAAAGGAUAUUCACGGAGUUCUCAUUAGCCCCCCAUAGCAGGAUCCUGAGUGGAUGGGGCAGUGGUUCUCAACCCUGGCUGCACACUGGAAUCUCGGAGUGAGGGAGGUCCAGGAAAGAUGCUCAUACCUGGGCCUCCCUGCGAAGAUUCUGGUUUCACGGGGUACCAGCUUUUUAUUUUAAGUUCCCCGGGCAUAUUAGGUGAUACCAAAGAAUAGUUUGUUGAUUGUGUUCAGUGCGAUAAUGGCAUGGUGGUUAUGUAAGAAAAUGGCUGUUUUUUAGAGAUGCAUACUGAAGUUUGGAAAGGUGAGGUGACAUCAUGUCUGGGAUGUGCUUUAAAAUACAUCAGCAAAGAGAAAGGGGGAUAGAUGAAGCAGAUCUGUUUUGAUAAUUACUAAAUCUGGAUGGUCAGUAUAUGGGAGUUCAUUACUAUUCUCUAGUUCCAGUGUUUCGAAUUUUUCAAAUCAAAGUUUUUUUUAGUAAUAAAAAAUGUUUUUAAAAAACUUAGAAUCUCUCCAGGGGAUUCUAACGUUCAGCUAAGGUUGAGAACCAAUGGUUUAGAAGAUUAAAUUUGGAUUCCCACACCCUAGAUCGGCUCUGACUUGGGGCUUUGCAUGAGGUAAGCGUGACCUUUCAGGAUAAGUUCCUAUAAGUAAUAUGGACCCUCAGCUCCUGAGGAGGUGAAGAACGGCGUGGGCCCAAAGAACAGAUGACACCUAGAAUCAGAAUUCAGAGUGGACAACUGGGCCACUUUCUUCUACUGACCUCAGUACCACCCAUCCCCAAAAGCUGUUGUGCUUUGGGCCUUCCUGGCCUUGUCACUUGCCAGUCCUCCUACCAUACACCCUGAGGACCUCUCUUGCCACACCAGGGCAAUAAAAGACCACUACAUGGUGACACAUGCACAGGAGGGUCCUGAUUUCCUUAGUGUUCAGCGCUUUACCUAGUGAGAUUUUGCUGAAGCUAGAGGGAGGGGCGAGGGGGCUGAAACUGCACCUCCCUGCCCCUCCCGGGAGUCCACGUGCUUUCAGUCCUGUGUGCAAGUGUGUGAGGGCUCUUUUGUGUCCUCAGCACCUGUCCCAACUCCCAAGCAGUAUUUUGUUCUGGCUGCUCAGCAGGUGGGAUAAACAGAAGCUUGCUGCAGCCCAAGUAAACGGUGCUCUGGAGCUCUGGCUGGAAGCUUCCAUGCUACAUUUAAAUACCAUAGCCUGGCUUAGGACACUGACUUAGCACCUCUCCAUUCAUGAGCAAGCUGCUGGCUCUUCUCUAUGCAGGGGGCUUUGUGAAGUAUAUCUAUAAGCAAGUCUGUGUGUUGCUAAGGGAAGCUGAAGCAGAGGGAACGCUACAGACUGCCCAAGGUCACUCGACCAGCCCAGAGCUUUGCUACCAGUAGUAUUUACUGAGUGCCUGGGUGUCCUUCUUCCCACUUCCUGGGGAAGACUUGGAACAGUCCUUUCAGCAAAUGCCAGCUUGAGAAAGGUGCAGAAGUCACCCCCUGCACCUCUGUAGGAGGGCCCAGAGCAUCUGUCUUUCCCCAGGGUCUGAAUCACUAUUGGUCCUACCACUAUUCAGUGCGAACAUUCAGAAUUCAAAUGGGCAGUCUCUUCCUCUGCCCACUCAGAACAAGUAGCCUCAGAGUCACUAAAAUUCAAAACUCCGAGCCGUAUGGCCUUCACUGGACCGUUUGGGUGGGAGGAGGCAGAUUUCCCUGACUCUCUUAUGCUCCCUAAUACGUAUCUCCCUGUUGUCAGCCUUGGGCUCUCCAUCUUGUUGCUUCCCCCACUGUAGGAGCUCUGCAAGGGCAAGAACCAAGUCUUUCGUCUCCAUCGUUCCCCAGCACCUGGCACAGUGCCAGUCACUGCACUGGCUCUAAAUAAGCAUAUAGAUGAGGAAGCGAACCAGAGGAGGGCUAUGGCAGGGAAUGCCGCUAGGCUAAGGGUCAGAAACCUGGCAUUUUAAAAAGUAGUUUCUCAUCCAUUCGGGCUUAUGAACCUGAACUGUGUGGUGAUCUUGAGCCCCACCUGAGUUAGCUUGUCGAGCAGCCUAUGCGACUAGGGAGGGCUUCUGACCAUUCACGGCUAGAGAGAAACAUGCUCUUUGGUUCUCUUUCCACUUUCCUUUGGAAUAAAUGAUAUGUCCCUGUGCCUUGGUUUCUUCCAUUUGAUAUUCAUGGGCCUCUGAGCAGUCUGUCCCCUCCCCUCCUCACCUGGGACUCUGAGGAGGGUGACAUGUUUGCAGGAAGGUUUCCUUUGUUUUUCCAGGGCAGUCAGUCAAUUGACACUUGUCCAGCUCUCUCAGAAGUUACUCCUCCCGAACCUCAGUGAAACCUCAGGGGCACUAGCUCAGCUAAAGCAAAACUAUGUACAAGAAGCACUUCUGUCCUUAGUGACAGGACAGUCCUGCCUGUCAGAAACCAGCGUGACCACAGAGUCUUUCCCUGUUCCCUCUAGACUCGAAAGCAGGGGUUCUAAUCCUGAGCCUGCCCUUGAAUCACCUGGCUAUAUUUUUAAAAUAUCGAAAUCCUGUCACCACUCCUGGAGAUGCCUCUACAUUUGAUCUAGAGUCUGAACGUUGGGAUUUUUUAACAGCUCCUCAGUGCUGGCAAUGUAUACUUGGGACUGAGAACCAUUGUCUCAAAGCGUCUUCACUAGAAGGAGAUUUGAUAGCACUUGAACGUCCCACUGCUGGCCUUGCCCUCCCCACCACCACCCACCCUGGACUGUGGAAGAGGAAAGCAUGCAUUUGCCUCUUUUGCACACCCCACGUCACCGUCCUUAGCUGGUUCUGAGGCACCGUUCCCAGGCUGUGCGAUUGAUGGUGCAGUAUGGUUGGGUCCCCCGCCCACACCCCACACACACUCUCUCUCACACGGCCCACUGCUCUUAACCUUGGGCAGGUGACUGGAGCAGAGAUAGAUUAUCUGUGGACAAUAGUUUGAUUUUGUUUUAGAGGGCAUUAGUGAGGGAGAACAGUCCAGAACUGUCUUUGCAAUUUAAGGUGAAUAUUUCUUUAAGAUUUUAGCUCAAAGAAUGCUUGCCCACAGGCUCCCAAAUAGCACAUCCCAUCCUUCGGCAGCAGAAGAGUCUGCCUUAGCAGUGAAAAGCAAGGCCAGACACCAGUUGAAAUCCCAGACAGCUUCCUACCCUUCCUCCAUAUCUUGUCAGAUAUUUCAAGCUUUAAGUCCUUAUUCGUGCUCUGCCUACUUGGCUGGCUGUUCUUGCACUUGAGCGGCUUGUUUGCCUGGACAGGUCCAAGCUGUCUGAGCCAUCAGCAGCUGCACCUCCUCCCUCGCGCCUUCUGUCUGAGCCAACCUUGAUUCACAGUAGUGCAGAUGGCCCCAGCCUUAUCCAGCGACGUCUGCCACUCCCAUCCCUCUCCUGCCCUGCUUUCCCCCAGAUGAAGGGGCUGGGCCAGCCCCUGGCCACUGGUCAACCUGGGGCUAAGAUGAAGACGACUCUUAGUUCAUGCCCUGGCAUAUUAACCUAGGAAACAUGAUAAAAAUUGUAUCUGAAGCACAUAGAAAAAGGGUACAGGAGGGUCUGAGUUCACGUUGUGUAUAAGAUACUUUACAGCCUGCAUCAGAGCUAAUCUGUUUUUGCAAAUAUGCUUAGUUCCACCCACUCUGCUUCCUAAGUAUUACUGGGAGCAGAGAGAGAGGAGAGAGCCGGUGCCAGAAAGCACCUUUCCUUCUCUUCCUCCCCUUUCCUCCCUUAAAUGCAGACUUGACAACUUCUUAGUGCACCACUGCUCAGUUCCUCAGUCCAGUUUAAGGUGCUGAAAGGUAGUGCCCUGUAAUACACCACUGUAAUCAAUUCAUUUCCCUUCUCCUUGUCCGUCGGCAAGAGAAAUGAAGUGACAGGUAACAAAUGCGAACGGGGUCGUGGGUGACCUUGUACAUGAGAAGGAUCUGCCGCAGUAGCCCUGGGGCCUCACUGCCUUUCCCCGUGGCCCCUCUCUGCUGAGCUGGACAAGGCACAGGAAUCAGGGUGUCCCGUCUAGCAGGCUCUCAGAGACAGACCCACAGCCAGACCCCGUAGCAACGGCCAGCAGCGGGAGGGAGUGCUGCGGCAGCAGUCUGCUCCACCUGUGUGGCUUGCAUGGGGCACACAGAGCAAAUACAGCAGCUCAUUUGGCUCAUCUGUAAACCUAAGGGACCCCAGCAGCUUUGGAAUGCCAUUGGUUCAGCAGUACUAACAUUCACAUGUUUCAUCCUGAGGCUUACUUAGCUGUUACACACAUUAUUUCAAGGCUUUUUUUCUCGAUGAAGAAAACUGUCCCAGUCCUAGGCUGCUUAAACAGGAACAUAAGCCCCCAAAGCCAACCCUUUUUAUAGGGUAAUAUCGGGACUGAGAUGUAUUCCCUGGGGUGUUUUCUUCAGGAUAGGACAUUUUUAAUCCUUAAUAAUGAUAAAAUAUCUCUGUUGGCACCCAAGGACCAAUAACAUACUGA